rnacentral:rRNA from 1 species
UACAGAGGGUGCGAGCGUUAAUCGGAAUUACUGGGCGUAAAGGGUGCGUAGGUGGUUUGGUAAGUUAGGUGUGAAAGUCCUGGGCUCAACCUGGGGAUUGCGCCUAAUACUGUUAAGCUAGAGUACUGUAGAGGGAAGUGGAAUUUCCGGUGUAGCGGUGAAAUGCGUAGAUAUCGGAAGGAACAUCAGUGGCGAAGGCGACUUUCUGGACAGAUACUGACACUGAGGCACGAAAGCGUGGGGAGCAAACAGG